UGAAGGGUGAUUUUAGUGUCGAUGUUGAUAUCAAUUUAUUUUUCUGACUAAGAGGAACAUGGAAACAGGACUGAGCAAUCCUUCUGGAUCACUGAAUUGACUCUCCUGCCAUGACAGCACUGCAACAUACAACUUUCCCCAUUAACAUAUAGUACCAAUUUUUUUAAAUCUAGCUCUUGUUUUUGGUCCCUGCUAUUCUCAUUAAAGGCUUCAGUGCCCUGGGGUAGCAGAUACUGUCUUCUAAAAACAAGGCCAAAUGUAUUCACUACCAGUUUGUACCCACCUGAUCAUGUGCCAGCAUCACUUCAGUGUAAACAGCUCUUCUCCUUUCUUGAUGUUAACCCCACAAUGUAUUUUACAGCAAGCACAUCCCUCUCAGCUUUCAUUUGCCAGACUAACCCAGUGAAGCUCUGAGAGUCCCCUCAAAGCUGGCCCCUAAUCCCCUCAUCCUACUAGAAUUGUACAGGCUAUUUCCUAGACUCACCAGCAUGUUGCGUAAGUGGCAAUAUUAUUUCCCUUGUUUUUUUGGGAAAAGCCUCCUGACAGCCUUUCUUUUCCUAAUUCUGGAAGGUCUGAGAAAAAGAAACUGAUGAGAAUUAUGCAGAGUGAGGAGGCUGUUUAAAAUACGCCUAUAGGCACCCGGCUGAUGGAGUGGCAACCCUUUCAACUGCUCAGACAGAACUGCUUGGCCAAGGAGAAGAGUGCUGGCCCUCUCAGUAAGGUGAAGUUCCAGUACAAGAAGAAAGAAUCAAGCACCUUUGUGCCUUGAUUCAUGAAGAUCUGACCACUAUCUUUUUGUCAGGCUGCGGCAACAUGAAGGUCAGGAUCUUUCUCAUGCACUGCGCUGCUUGGAGCAGAAAGCCACCACCAGAGAGAGCUAUUCCAGAUCUUUUGGUCAGAGAACACAAAGCUCGGAUUCGAGUACUGAAACAAACCUGUGGCUGUGUACUCAGUUACUCUCAGUGGUUCGGCACUACAUUCAUCUGAUAACGUUGCAAGUCAAGGCAAGAGUCUUCCUGAAGUGAUGCAGGGAAGUUUUCUAAAG